rnacentral:rRNA from 1 species
AUUUACUUCGGUAAUGACGCUGGGGACGCGAGCGGCGGAUGGGUGAGUAACACGUGGGCAACCUGCCCCAGAGCGGGGAUAACAUUUGGAAACAGGUGCUAAUACCGCAUAACUCCGAUAACCACAUGGUUUUCGGAUAAAAGAUGGUUUCGGCUAUCACUUUGGGAUGGGCCCGCGGUGCAUUAGCUAGUUGGUAAGGUAACGGCUUACCAAGGCAAUGAUGCAUAGCCGAGUUGAGAGACUGAACGGCCACAUUGGGACUGAGACACGGCCCAAACUCC